AAAAAGUUUGAUUCUUGCUUAGAGUAUUUGCUGUUUGAUUAAAUGCAUAUGAAAGUUUUGGUGGUCAAGGCUAAAAGGAAUUAAGUUCUUAGGACCUUUGUUCUCAGUGCAAAGUAUUUUGUAACCAACAUAAGUUGGGCAAAGUAAAUUAAAAUUUACCCGUCCAAGAUUUGUGCCAGCAGCCGCGGUUAUACUCGGGGGUAUAGUGAAAUAAAUUUCGGUAUUUAGUAUAAAAUAAUUAUAGGUGGUAAUUAAGUUGUUUUUUUAAAGGGUGAAAUCAGCAUAUGAACAACAAUUUAUUUAAUUUAUACGGUUAUACUAAAAAAUUUAGGGGAUGUACUGGGAUUAGAUACCCCAUUACACUUAUUAUGAAAUUAUUGAAUGCCUGAUUAGUAAAAGUUAUAUUCUCUAAAUUCAAAGAAUUUGGCGGCUUUUUAAUCUUAUUAGGGGAACCUGUUCUUUAAACGAUAAUCCACGUAAUAUCUUACCUGUUCUGGUUAGUUUGUAUACCGUCAUUUAGAUAACUUUGAUAAAAGGAGUUAUCAAAAUAAUCUGUAAUUAAAAUGUUAGAUCAAGGUGCAGCGUAUGGUCAGGUUAGAAUGGGUUACAAUAAAUUUGGUUUAUAACGGAGGAAUUUUUGAAUAAAAAUUUUAAAGGCGGACUUUAAAGUAAAACUUGGUUUAAUAAGAUAGUUUGAUUUUAGCUCUAAAUUGUGUACAUAUCGCCCGUCGCUUUCAUUUUAAAGAUGAGAUAAGUCGUAACAUAGUAGGUGUACUUGAAAGUGUACCUGGGUAUGA
rnacentral:ncRNA from 1 species